UACGGGGGGGGCAAGCGUUGUUCGGAAUUACUGGGCGUAAAGGGCGCGUAGGCGGUCUGCUAAGUUGGAUGUGAAAACUCUGGGCUUAACCCAGAGCCUGCAUUCAAAACUGACAGGCUAGAGUUCUGGAGGGGAUAGCGGAAUUCCUGGUGUAGCGGUGAAAUGCGUAGAUAUCAGGAGGAACACCGGUGGCGAAGGCGGCUAUCUGGACAGAGUCUGACGCUGAGGCGCGAAAGCUAGGGGAGCAAACAGG
rnacentral:rRNA from 1 species